rnacentral:rRNA from 1 species
AACGAACGCUGGCGGCAGGCCUAACACAUGCAAGUCGAACGGGAUCUUCGGAUCUAGUGGCGGACGGGUGAGUAACGCGUGGGAACGUGCCCUUUGGUUCGGAAUAGCCCUGGGAAACUGGGAGUAAUACCGGAUACGGUCGAGAGACGAAAGAUUUAUCGCCGAAGGAUCGGCCCGCGUUGGAUUAGGUAGUUGGUGGGGUAAAGGCCUACCAAGCCGACGAUCCAUAGCUGGUUUGAGAGGAUGAUCAGCCACACUGGGACUGAGACACGGCCCAGACUCCUACGGGAGGCAGCAGUGGGGAAUCUUAGACAAUGGGGGAAACCCUGAUCUAGCCAUGCCGCGUGAGCGAUGAAGGCCUUAGGGUUGUAAAGCUCUUUCAGUGGGGAAGA